GACGAACGCUGGCGGCGUGCUUAACACAUGCAAGUCGAACGGUAAGGCCCUUCGGGGUACACGAGUGGCGAACGGGUGAGUAACACGUGGGUGAUCUGCCCUGCACUUCGGGAUAAGCCUGGGAAACUGGGUCUAAUACCGGAUAGGACCUCGCACUUCACGGUGUGUGGUGGAAAGCUUUUGCGGUGUGGGAUGGGCCCGCGGCCUAUCCGCUUGUUGGUGGGGUAAUGGCCUACCAAGGCGACGACGGGUAGCCGGCGUGAGAGGGUGGCCGGCCACACUGGGACUGAGAUACGGCCCAGACUCCUACGGGAGGCAGCAGUGGGGAAUAUUGCACAAUGGGCGCAAGCCUGAUGCAGCGACGCCGCGUGAGGGAUGACGGCAUUCGGGUUGUAAACCUCUUUCAGUAGGGACGAAGCGCAAGUGACGGUACCUACAGAAGAAGGACCGGCCAACUACGUGCCAGCCGCCGCCGUAA
rnacentral:rRNA from 1 species